rnacentral:tRNA from 5 species
GCCGCUGUGAUGGAAUUGGCAGACGUAGCGGACUCAAAAUCCGCCGGUAGCGAUACCGUGCCGGUUCGACUCCGGCCAGCGGCACCA